ensembl:snRNA
AUCAUCCUUUUCUUUGGGUAGCGCUACUGUCCAAUGAAUGAGUAUUGAGGGCAGUACUGCUAACGCCUACAUGACACAUCUGCAUCAACUAGAGCACUGCUUUACUUCCGUGCAAUUUUUGGAAAA